rnacentral:rRNA from 1 species
GACGAACGCUGGCGGCGUGCUUAACACAUGCAAGUCGAACGGAAAGGCCCUGCUUUUGUGGGGGGCUCGAGUGGCGAACGGGUGAGUAACACGUGAGUAACCUGCCCUUGACUUUGGGAUAACUUCAGGAAACUGGGGCUAAUACCGGAUAGGAGCUCCUGCUGCAUGGUGGGGGUUGGAAAGUUUCGGCGGUUGGGGAUGGACUCGCGGCUUAUCAGCUUGUUGGUGGGGUAGUGGCUUACCAAGGCUUUGACGGGUAGCCGGCCUGAGAGGGUGACCGGCCACAUUGGGAAUGAGAUUAGGCCCAGACUCCUAAGGGAGGGCGGAGGGGGGAAUAAUGCACAAGGGGGGGAAGCCUGAUGCAGGAACGCCGCGUGCGGGAUGACGGCCUUCCGGUUGGAAACCGCUUUCGCCUGUGACGAAGCGUGAGUGACGGUAAUGGGUAAAGAAGCACCGGCUAACUACGUG